GGACGAAAGUCUGACGGAGCAACGCCGCGUGAGUGAUGAAGGUUUUCGGAUCGUAAAGCUCUGUUGUUAGGGAAGAACAAGUGCAAGAGUAACUGCUUGCACCUUGACGGUACCUAACCAGAAAGCCACGGCUAACUACGUGCCAGCAGCCGCGGUAAUACGUAGGUGGCAAGCGUUGUCCGGAAUUAUUGGGCGUAAAGGGCUCGCAGGCGGUUUCUUAAGUCUGAUGUGAAAGCCCCCGGCUCAACCGGGGAGGGUCAUUGGAAACUGGGAAACUUGAGUGCAGAAGAGGAGAGUGGAAUUCCACGUGUAGCGGUGAAAUGCGUAGAGAUGUGGAGGAACACCAGUGGCGAAGGCGACUCUCUGGUCUGUAACUGACGCUGAGGAGCGAAAGCGUGGGGAGCGAACAGGAUUAGAUACCCUGGUAGUCCACGCCGUAAACGAUGAGUGCUAAGUGUUAGGGGGUUUCCGCCCCUUAGUGCUGCAGCUAACGCAUUAAGCACUCCGCCUGGGGAGUACGGUCGCAAGACUGAAACUCAAAGGAAUUGACGGGGGCCCGCACAAGCGGU
rnacentral:rRNA from 1 species